rnacentral:lncRNA from 1 species
AGAGAGCACUUAAUGCCGUCCAGGAAAGGAGCUGGCAGUGAUACUAAAAGCCAAAGGAAGGAGAGAGGAGAAGGAGGCAGAGAGAAGCCAACACGAGGACUGAGAGACGUUUAAGCAAACCCGGGAAUGAACAGAGCGGGUGGGGAGAGCCCUUGGAGAGGCUGGGCCUCUUCCUGGCUAUGGGCAACUUCGGGGAAGGAAGGCUGAGCUCCGGGGUGCUCCCCCCAAUGGCUUGCACCCCUUAUUUCAGUAUUCUACUCCACACUCAGCCUGCACUAACAAGGAAUCAAAGACGUCUCUGAAGUCCCCAGUGAAUCCACUGUCCACUGCUCAUUGCCCCUUGACUGGAUCCGUCUUCACUGUGGAAAGAGCAUGCAUGUGUGAAUAGAGGCCCGGGGAGGCAGCCUGGGCAGCCCGCUUUUCUCAGGACCCCACUAAUGUGGCAUGGCCUGGGUGCUCACCACUGUGGACAUCUGAGCCUUUUAGACAAGAGGGCCAUUUGUCACCGUCAUUGGUUUCCAGGAAAGCGCCCUUGAGGCGGCCCCCGUCCUUCCUGGAGGUGCCAGGUUCUCAGCGUCUCCCUCUCAGUAUGGAAGCAUCGUGGAGAGGGCUGAAAGGUGGGGGCACAGCCCCUGGGUGUCACUUAAGAGGCCCCUGUGUGUCGGCGGGUCUCCCAGUCUCCCAGUUCAGCCUGGCUGGGCUCUCAGUGGGCAGCUCAUGUCCAGGCCAGGCCGGUGGAAUAGCACAAAACUACCGAGCUGAAGCAAGAGUCCAGACAUCCUCGGGACCAGGGUCCUGGCGAGCAGAUUCAGUUUCCCUCGGGGGUCCAUGGAGCCCAAUAUUCCCCAGACAGGCCUCAAGGGCUGGGGGUGAGGGAUGGGCUGGGCUCCAAGCACGGGACACUGAGAGGAUCCUCCCUGCUUCCAUCCCAACCAGAGACAGCCCCUUGGGUCAGCGCUGCCGACUGCAAUUCAAUGCAAGACUUUGGGAUCCAGGAAAGGUUUCCUUUUGCUCAAGACCUUCAGUGAGCAGACAGGUGUAAAUGCAACGCUGUGGUCACCUCGGGGACUGCUGUUCUCAGGGCUGAGCCUCCACCUGCUGGAGCCAUGUGGCUCCCUCCAUCCUCACCCGCUGGGAGGCCUGGUGAUAAUGAGGAGGGGUCCCGUCCUGCAAGCAGGCAGCAUUUUCAAGCUGUGCUGCCAUUUGCAUCCUGUUUAUUUGAGGAGAAGUGGAUCAUUUCUCUGGCCUGGCUCCUGUGGGUGGGAUUGACCUGCUCAAUUUUCCUGUAACUUGUGCCUCUCAGAUUCCUGAAAUCUGUGGAAGAAGAUUUUACUGGUGUCUCUAAGCCCUGUUGGCUGGGCCACAACAAUUUUCAGACCGUGUGGGUCUCUGGCUUGUAAAUCACCUUCGCAUCUGAGCGGUCUGUGCCUUUCUCUGUGCCAAACUAAGCAUCAUUUCUCUUUGCUUCUCCACAGGAUCAUAACUGCCAGGAUGAGGAGGGAUUCUGAAUUCUCAGACAUUUUGGGGUUGAUUGUCCCCUAAAAGGCUGUCACAUGUGAAAGGAGAAAUACCUGGGGAGCUGGAGGCUGGAGUUUAGCGCGUUCCUCCAGUGACGUGGAGCAAAGCAUUUGACUCCCCGGGGCCUCCUUGUCCUAGACGGUUACCUCGGGUCAGUGAACUGGAUGCUCCUUAGCUAGUGGCAAACAGCUGAGUCACUUGUGGAACAUUAAAACCAAGUAAAAAUCAAAACCACUCAAAUGCAUGACUGGCUCCCACUCCUGGGGGCUCUUCUUUAGCAGGUCUGAGUGGGGCCUGAACACACGUCCUUUUUAGAAAACUCAGAGUCUUCCGACACAUGUGUCUGUUGGAGAACCACUGGACCAGAAUGAUGUCCAGCAGAGCUCUUUCCAGAGGAGGGGCAGUUAAGUGGCUUCCAAAACAUCCCCAAGGUUCAGAAAAACAACACCGAAGAAUUUGACUCAAGGCUCGGGUCACGCACAUUCCUUCCCAAAUGAGGCUGAGUCACUGCAGAGCUUCUGCUCUCCUCCACUCACAUCUGGUGUUCUCCCAGAUGUGGGCGCCUCCUCCACCCCGGGGAAGGAAUGUUUUCUUGUUCGCUGGCCGGCCCCGUGCCUUCCGAAGGGUCAUUUGAACUGGAGUGGCGCAGUGAAGGAAAAAUAGCUGGUGGGAUGACAAAUGGGUUUGAUUUCAAAGAAGCCUGUUUUCAGACUGAGGAUGGGCGCGCUGGCCGCGCCUGGCUCUGCCUUGGAGCGCUGAGUCAUGACAGCUCAGCUGACUCAGGUUUCACAAUCAGCCUCCGGGUCAACCCGAAGCAUGCCCUUUCCAAGAAAGAGCCUAAGUCUGACCUAGCAACGUGCUUUUUGUGUGUUAAACACUAAGUUGAUUCUGUUCAAAAGACAAGGAAAAACAGCCUUGGAAUGUCCCAGGCUGAUUUUCCUAAGAAUUCUUUGGACUUGGGGCGUCAUUUCUUCUGUGGUUCCAUCUGUUGAAAAUACUGUAGCCCCAUCAAUUACUGCCUCAGAACACGUUUAUUAAAUACCUAGGGGUCCUCUGCUCAGCAUCUCAAGCAAACACUGAAUGUCUUCUCUCGGCGGCCUUCUCUGAGGAGCCCAGGUGAAGAUCACUUCCAGUUGACUGAAAGGGACUCUAGACUUCCCUGGGGUCCUGUGUCCUGGCCCUCCCACAGCCCCCUGGCCAUCGCGGGCUCCCAUGGUCCUUGGAGGGCAAAUUUCUAGCCACUUGGUCUCUUGAGUGACACCACCCAGCCCCCUUGGGCCCACCAGGCACCAUCUUUCCACCCUCCAAGACUCAGCCCUCCCAAACAGGCCCACCUACAGCUUGCGUUCACCCCCUUGUGAGAGCAGAGCAGACAGCUUCAUUAGAACACUGAUGAAGCGGGUGUAGUGGGUUGGGUGGUGGCGUCCAGAAAGGUAUAUCCAUGCCCGAAUUCCUGAGACUGCGACUAUUACUUUAGUUGAAAAAAAUUAAUAACAGAAAAAAUAAUUUAAAAAAUAAAUAAAAAAU